CCUACGGGCGGCAGCAGUGAGGAAUAUUGGUCAAUGGACGAGAGUCUGAACCAGCCAAGUAGCGUGAAGGAUGACUGCCCUAUGGGUUGUAAACUUCUUUUAUAUGGGAAUAAAAUGUUCCACGUGUGGGAUUUUGUAUGUACCAUAUGAAUAAGGAUCGGCUAACUCCGUGCCAGCAGCCGCGGUAAUACGGAGGAUCCGAGCGUUAUCCGGAUUUAUUGGGUUUAAAGGGAGCGUAGGUGGAUUGUUAAGUCGGUUGUGAAAGUUUGCGGCUCAACCGUAAAAUUGCAGUUGAAACUGGCAGUCUUGAGUACAGUAGAGGUGGGCGGAAUGCGUGGUGUAGCGGUGAAAUGCUUAGAUAUCACGAAGAACUCCGAUUGCGAAGGCAGUUCACUGGACUGCAACUGACACUGAGGCUCGAAAGUGUGGGUAUCAAACAGGAUUAGAUACCCUAGUAGUC
rnacentral:rRNA from 1 species